rnacentral:lncRNA from 1 species
UAAAAGUUAUGCCGGGAAGCCACAUUUUAUUAAUUUUUCAUUGUCCCCCCAAAUUUUCACCAUGUUCCCUCUUUACAUUGAAACCCUAUUUCAUUUUUUAGGGUCAUUUUUCUACGUUUUCCCAAAAUUCACCGUCUACCUCGCUUCAUCUCUCUCGUCUCUCUCUCUCUCUCUCACCUGGCAAAACACUAGGGCUUGAAAAUCAUAUAGAAGGACAGUAAUCUUCUUCCCUCCAUUAAAUUAUUUUCAGGUCAGUAAGCAAUUCUUCAUCUAUGGACAAUACUUAACUUUUAUCUGCUAUUAAUAUUUAAAUAAAGAUUUUGAUGAAUUUACAUUUUCCUUUCUUGAUUUCUCAAUUGGAUAAAAGAUCUACUCAGCCUCACUUUGUUCAAAGAAUCCCAAUGUCUGAUUUGUUGAUGUGUAUUUUUGUGUGUUCUCUUCAAAUACAAUUCUCACUUAGGUAAGCAGGUUCUCCUGCACUCCCCAAAAAGAAUUUAAAAGAAUGUUAGGAUAGAUUUUACAGGUCCUAACUCCGUCAAAAUGUAGAACCCAUUUCUAAGAUAAGAAAAUGGGCGAAAUAGAGAUUCACUAUUUAUUUUGGCUAUCCUAACUUCAAGAUCACUACUGUCAUUUUUCAAAGUCCAAAAAUGUGUCGAGGAGUAAUUGAUAGAAAACUGAUUAGUGAGGAGGCUGCACCUUGUGUCAUUGACAAAGAGUUUAAUUUCUCUUAAAAAAGAAAUUUGCUAUUUCUGCUACUACAUACUGAAAAGUAGCUAUUUUAGUUUUUGCCAUAUCCUAACUCAUAGGACAUCACAGAAAAUAAAAGGGUUAAGAUUUACAUAAAAUACAUUUUCUUGGGUAGCUAAAUUUUGCAGCCUCUAAUCUUUAAAACUUUACAUGAUACAAGUUGAGUAGAAAGAUAUCUGGAGUCUGCUUAUGGGAGGAGAAAAGACCAAGAGUCCAAGAGUAUGCUUAUUUAUGUAUUUCAUAUGUAAUUUAUAGAGUAAAAAAGGCAAUGUAUAUGUUUAUUUAAAAUAAAAGGAUUAUAUGUUCUGCCAAGAUCAAGUUAUGCCCAUUUCCAUCAAGCAUGCAGAAGCCAAGUGAUCUGUGUAUUUCAAACUAACUUCGUCACUUGAUAUGGAACUGCAUCAAGUGGUUUAUAUGACGACCGCUUUCUGUUGCACAACCUACAUAUAUUCUUUUGUUUUGAAGGUGUCUUAUACAUGAAUUUUUGAAGGAGUAAAGCCUACGUAUACAUUACCCUUCCUAGAACUGUUUGUGAAAUUUACUAGGUCGUUGUUGUCGUUGUUGUUGUUGUUGUUGUUGUUAUUGAUAGGUUUAUUGACGACACAUAGAGAAAUUUUUGGAUCAAUCUAUUCUCAAAGUUGCCUCAUGGUUUCGAGUCUCAUUUGCAGUAAUCGUCAUUGAGUUUGGCCAAUGACAUGGGAAGUAUUUCAGUACUCCCUGCAACAUGAUUGAAAUAAAUUCAUGCAGGUCACUUGCAUAACCUCUUUAUCAUGUGUUUCUGCAUGCGUGCAUAUGUUUAUCAUCUAUUAAGCUAAGAGAGUUUGCACAAUUCAUUCCGAAAUUUAAAAAGCAUCUUGAUGUUAUCUGUUAUUACCAAUGUUGAGCUUUGAUAUAGAAGACUAUAUCUCCUUUAAUCAAUCUACAUUACCUAUCAACUCUAUGCAAUAUUCACUUAGAGUUCUCACUUUUCUUUUCUUUAUUUUUCCUUUUCCCCUUUAG